CAGAAAUCAAGAGUUGGAUGCUCAACCAACUGAGCCACCCAGGUGCCCCCGUAUUCCUGCGGGGCAUGUGAGCGUGCCCAGGUGGAUCUUAAGCAUGCGGUGGGUUGUAGCACAGCUGAGGAACACAGAACCCGGGGACUCCAGUGCUCUUAAUAAUCAGCGCUGUGGGCUUAUAGUGACCCAUAGGAACAAGUCUCUCUGCUACCAGUAGACCCUCCUUCAACAAAGGAGAGUAUGUUAAACCAAGGUUGAUGGACUAGAAAGCAAGGCCUGCUGGAUCACCCACAGAAGGCACUGCAGACGUGAUAAGAGCAAGGAAUGAUGAGCCUAAUGGGAUGAAGGGAGAGAGCAGAAGGCACAUGUGAGCUGUUUACCUUUUUCGACCAGUGCAUGGUCCAGAAGGCGUCCCCGUUGGCCCCUGUGAACUGUGGAGAUGGCCAGGACGCACUCCUGGGAACACACUAGUGCCAGCGUCCCAUGCUGCAGCAGACUGCAAGUGAGCAGAGAGGAAAGGGUUGAGAUCUUUCCGGAGACAGGCAUGCUGUCUUCAGGGCACAUGGCACACGAUGACAUUUUCUUAAACAAUGCCUUGGCUCAGUUUUCCAGGUCAACAAGUUACUAUUUAAAUAUGAACUUUCUCCAGUUCCAUUUACUCACUUUGGAUAUUGCAAUUUAUAACGGAUAUAGACAACCUGGAGUUUAUCAAGUGGAGGACAUCUAUGAUGCUGAUUGUUCUGGAAAAUGUAUCAGAAGGUGACCAACAGUGGCUGACUAUCUGACAUGUUUGGAUCAUUUUGUAAUAUUUUCCUCUUGGGAGUUUUGGAAGUUGCAGUCAUCAAAAUGGUGAUAAUCUACCAUUUUGAAGAUAUCCUUCUAAAUAUGCACUGCCAGGGGAAAGAAUAUGUAGAGUUUUACUCAUGAGAACAGGUUGCAAAAUGGAAGGAGUGAAUGCACCCUAAAACAAAACAAGAAAAUGAUCUUGUAUUGCCCCUCUGUGUCUUUCUCUUAAUGGUAAUGGUUGGAUGAAGGAAUGCACAAAUAAAUUCUUUAUUAUGCAUGAUACUGUGGGAAGGGAAAUAGAAAAUUGCUUUCUCAGCACAUGAAUCCUCUACCCAUCCAUUUAUUUAUUCAUUUAGGAAAUUCAUUGUGUUCCUUUUAUGACGGAGGUAUUAUUUCAGAUACUGGGAAUAUAGUAGUGAACAAAAUUUGCUGCCAUCAUGAAGCCUUACGUUCACUUGGGAAAAUAUAAUAAAUGAACCCAUAAAUAUAGUGAUGUGCAGUGAAGAAAGAUAAGGCUGGGUCCCUCAGUUCAGGGUCAAAAAACCAGCUAGAGCUCUGAUUGGUCACGAGAGGUCAUGUACCAGCCUUCCUCACAGGCAUAGGAACAAGUGGGGUGGGAACAUUUUGAACUUCCAUAGUGACAGGCUAUUAUGAUGGGCAGUAUGUGUGGGUGGAAAUCCCCAAACAUGGAGAAAGUUUUAAGAUACUGAUAGCCAAAACCAUGGCAAGACUGUCCAGUAUGGUCUCCAAAGGUUUAUAUAAUCUUUCACGUAAAUUGGUGCCAGUCCAAUUUAGGCUUACAGACCACUUUGCAAAAAAAUUUUUCCCCCAUCAACUUCUAUUUAGUUAACAUUGUGAGAAGAAACCCUUUUUAACAAUUUUGUUUUUAAGACUGUUCUGAGGAUUAGAAUGAAAAUUUUUUGUUGGGGCGUGUUCUAGGAUCAAAGCUCCCUUUUCUCACCACACAUGUAACUUAUGAGGUAUCUGAAAAAUGUACAACAUGCAUACUUUGGAGAAUAAGUCUAGCCUGGCUGAGGUGUCAGAUGCUGGGGGCAUUUUGGAAAGAUAUUUGGAAGAUAAUGGUACUGUCUUUGUGCUCUUAGGUAAUCUCAUUAUGGCUGAAGGCCCAGUGUUGGUGAUGCCAAUAGAUGGGCAAGACAGUGAUUCAGUAAAUGAGCAACAAGACCAUUUUAAUUCUUAUUGUGAAGUGUUGUCUUUUGUGAAAUAAGAGUGUAUUUCUUUGCUUUUAGGUAGCAUUAUACUAAAACGUUGAAUGAGCCAGUAUCUUUGCUCUGAAAGGUGAAACAUAAGAAAAUCCCAGAACAUGCCCUUAAAUAGGGUCAAGAUAUCUUAGGACAAAAAAAUGCUUAAAAAUGUAGGUAGGACUGCCAUGAAUGAAUAUGUUAAUUAUUGAGACGCAUAGAACUGAGUGAUUAAGAGUUUAUAAGCAGAGGCAGAAUGCUCCUCAAGGUGAUGAUGAAUGAUGCAAUUUGCAGCUUAUGGGCCACUUCAGUUUCUUGUCAAAAAUGCUGAUCUGAGUUGAAUACUGCUAAGAUUCCUAUGAUCUUAUGUAUGUAUGCAUUUUUAUUGAGAUGUAAUUGACAUAUAACAGAAGUUUCAGGUGUACAGCAUAAUGAUUCAAUGUAUGUAUAUAUGGUGAAAUGAACAUGAGAAACCUACUUAUCAAC